rnacentral:rRNA from 1 species
CACGUAGGCGGAUAUUUAAGUCAGGGGUGAAAUCCCAGAGCUCAACUCUGGAACUGCCUUUGAUACUGGGUAUCUUGAGUAUGGAAGAGGUAAGUGGAAUUCCGAGUGUAGAGGUGAAAUACGUAGAUAUUCGGAGGAACACCAGUGGCGAAGGCGGCUUACUGGUCCAUUACUGACGCUGAGGUGCGAAAGCGUGGGGAGCAAACA